rnacentral:rRNA from 1 species
UACGGGGGGGGCAAGCGUUGUUCGGAAUUACUGGGCGUAAAGGGCUCGUAGGCGGCCCACUAAGUCAGACGUGAAAUCCCUCGGCUCAACCGGGGAACUGCGUCUGAUACUGGAUGGCUUGAGUUCGGGAGAGGGAUGCGGAAUUCCAGGUGUAGCGGUGAAAUGCGUAGAUAUUGGGAGGAACACCGGUGGCGAAGGCGGCCCCCUGGACCGGUACUGACGCUGAGGCGCGAAAGCGUGGGUAGCAAACGGG